GAAGAUAUUGCUCUUCAAUAGGUAAUCUGGUAUUUGUAUUGCAUCUCCCAGUAACUAUAUCCACAGAGCGAAAGCCAAGCUGUACAUGUCUGCUUUACAUGUCAACCAUGCUCUUAUUGCGUACUCUGCAAGCGGAUCUUACCGGGACCGGAGGCAAAAUAACAGAGGAGAGAGAGAGAGAGAAGUGAAGAAGGAGAAAAGAACAAUGCAAGGAAAAUAGUACUAGUGGUUGAGAGGGAGCCAGAGACAAACGGAGAAAGCUAUGAAUGGAGUAGGUGGACAUCGACACCCCUGUAGCCUAUAGGUAAAGCUUUGAAAUAUGAAGGGGCAAAAUUGGCAAAAAAAAUUGAUUGCUGCAGAAGGAGACAAGAUCAGCUGAUGUAAUGAGACCGCCUAGACGGACUGGAGAAGCAUAACAUGGGUCCUCCUCGAACAUAACGAGUUUCCAAGCACUGAGC